rnacentral:rRNA from 1 species
UACCGCAAUAAUGUUCUUCCGGAACCAAAGUAUUUAGUCCGUCCGUGGGAUGAGCCCGCGUUAGGAUUAGCUAGUUGUGGGGUAAAGGCCUACCAAGGCGACGAUCCUUAGCUGGUCUGAGAGGAUGAUCAGCCACACUGGGACUGAGACACGGCCCAGACUCCUACGGGAGGCAGCAGUGGGGAAUAUUGGACAAUGGCGAAAGCCUGAUCCAGCAAUGCCGCGUGAGUGAUGAAGGCCCUAGGGUUGUAAAGCUCUUUUACCCGGGAUGAUAAUGACAGUACCGGGAGAAUAAGCUCCGGCUAACUCCGUG